AUUCCAAAAUAAUGACAUAUACCUUGGCAUGAGACUGGUGGCAGACAUCACAUGGAUACUUACUGAAUUAAGAUGAAAGGACAGUUGAGAGAAGAUCAGUGUGCAUCUCUCAUCUACUUCUCCUGCACUCUGCUUGCCACAUCUGCCUCCAGGCUCCCUGUCACCAUGACAAUGGACUACUCCUCUGAAACUGUUAAUACUAACUAUAUUCUUCUGAAACUGUUAUGUACAUGAUACAACAUGAAACAAGAUAGUAACUCAAAUGUAACCUGGGAUAUCAUGGGUUUUCAAGAACAAGGACCACAGUUAAAGAAGACAAAAAUAUGGCUAAAAAUGUGUAAGCAAAGAACUCUGAACGCUUAUGUUGAAUUGGAAGGGAUGAUAUACACUCAAAAGCUAACUACCUUUAAAAAGACAAGAUACUAGCUAGGUACAGCAGUACACAUCUUUAAUCUUAGCACUUACUAGACAGGCAGGCAGAUCCCUGGAGUUCCAGGCCAGCCAGCCUCAAAAACAAAAACAAAAACAAACAAAAAACAAAACCAAACAAACAAAACAGAGACAUGCACACACACAUACACACCCACAACGCACUAUGCAUUUCCCAACACUAUGCUUUGAAUAGAACCCCAACCAGGAACAACCUAGGUUGCAGUGUUCCUCGUACCUGUACUGUGAUGCUGAAACACCAUUUUUUCCCUAAAAAGAAACCAAGAUUAUAAGACAUAGGGUUGAUUCCAGAUCUAGCACAGGGAAAUAUACAAAGGAAGCUGAAACACUGUUAUACCAAAGAGUUGCAUAACUAAAGAGAGCUAAAAAGACAUAUAUAAGAAU
rnacentral:lncRNA from 1 species